rnacentral:rRNA from 1 species
GACGAACGCUGGCGGCGUGCUUAACACAUGCAAGUCGAACGGAAAGGCCCUGCUUUUGUGGGGUGCUCGAGUGGCGAACGGGUGAGUAACACGUGAGUAACCUGCCCUUGACUUUGGGAUAACUUCAGGAAACUGGGGCUAAUACCGGAUAGGAGCUCCUGCUGCAUGGUGGGGGUUGGAAAGUUUCGGCGGUUGGGGAUGGACUCGCGGCUUAUCAGCUUGUUGGUGGGGUAGUGGCUUACCAAGGCUUUGACGGGUAGCCGGCCUGAGAGGGUGACCGGCCACAUUGGGACUGAGAGACGGCGCAGACUCCUACGGGAGGCAGCAGUGGAGAAUAUUGCACAAUGGGCGGGAGCCUGAUGCAGCAACGCCGCGUGCGGGAUGACGGCCUUCGGGUUGUAAACCGCUUUCGCCUGUGACGAAGCGUGAGUGACGGUAAUGGGUAAAGAAGCACCGGCUAACUACGUG